GGCUGGGUAGCUCAGUGGAUUGAGAGCCAAGCCUAGAGCUGGGAGGUCCUAGGUUCGAAUCCAGCCUCAGCCA
rnacentral:tRNA from 1 species